UACGGAGGGUGCAAGCGUUGUCCGGAUUUAUUGGGUUAAAGGGUGCGUAGGCGGCCUAUUUAAGUCAGUGGUGAAAGCCAACAGCUCAACUGUUGAACUGCCAUUGAUACUGAUAGGCUUGAGUACAGACGAGGUAGGCGGAAUUGAUGCUGUAGCGUGAAAUGCAUAGAUAAGCUCAAGAACACCGAUUGCGUAGGCAGCUUACUAGGCUGUAACUGACGCUGAGGCACGAAAAGCCGUGGGGAGCGAACAGGA
rnacentral:rRNA from 1 species